UGCCCCAUGGCUGAGUUGGUUACAGCGUCCGACUGUUAUAUGAUAUGAGGGUGUACAAUCGGAAGGUCGUGAGUUCGAGCCUCACUGGGGCAG